rnacentral:sRNA from 1 species
GCUUUCAACAUCCCCGUUCCAGAUCGAGCGGAGUGCGCUGAGCGCUGCCUCGUAUUUGGAGCUGAAGGC